GGGGAUUUGGCUCAGUGGUAGAGCACUUGCCUAGCAAGCACAAGGCCCUGGGUUCGGUCCCCAGCUCA
rfam:Rattus norvegicus chromosome 19, whole genome shotgun sequence.